CUGGGCGUGGACCGGUGUUCGUUCCUGCGCCGUAGGCACUUCGCAUUUCUCUCUGAGAAGUGUCUGCGGUCGUGGGUUCGUUCUGAGAUUAUACGGUCAUAACUUGAUAUCUGGAUAAUACCAGCGAAAGGAUCAUGCCUUCCCCUUUU
rnacentral:ncRNA from 1 species